rnacentral:rRNA from 1 species
AUGUUGUCCGUUUGUCCUCCCUCCCGACCCAAAUUGAACGUAAAAAUGGGCCAUGAAUGGGUCCGCGGCGGACAAAACGAGCGCUCUCGUCGUCCGCUCUCGUCCGCUGUUGCCCCCUCAGGUGUCCGCCCUGGCCUUACUAGUCAGCGACACCGCACGGUUCGCUCGACAGGAAACUGCAGGCGAGAUCCAGCCACGGGCGCUGUGCAGCGCCUGCGCCUCCACGGCGUCGGCCUGGCGGGCACCCUCGCCCCGUCGCUGGCGCGCCUCCCCGCGCUCAAGUCCGUCUCGCUCUUCGGGAACGCGCUCUCUGGCACGAUCCCGGCGGGCUACGCGUCCCUGGCGCCCACGCGCCGCCGGAGAUGA